GUGGGGAAUAUUGGACAAUGGGCGAAAGCCUGAUCCAGCCAUGCCGCGUGUGUGAAGAAGGUCUUCGGAUUGUAAAGCACUUUAAGUUGGGAGGAAGGGCAGUAAGUUAAUACCUUGCUGUUUUGACGUUACCGACAGAAUAAGCACCGGCUAACUUCGUGCCAGCAGCCGCGGUAAUACGAAGGGUGCAAGCGUUAAUCGGAAUUACUGGGCGUAAAGCGCGCGUAGGUGGUUUUGUAAGUUGGAGGUGAAAUCCCCGGGCUCAACCUGGGAACUGCCACAAAAACUGCAUGACUAGAGUACGGUAGAGGGUAGUGGAAUUUCCUGUGUAGCGGUGAAAUGCGUAGAUAUAGGAAGGAACACCAGUGGCGAAGGCGACUACCUGGACUGAUACUGACACUGAGGUGCGAAAGCGUGGGGAGCAAACAGGAUUAGAAACCCUGGUAGUCC
rnacentral:rRNA from 1 species